CCUACGGGAGACAGCAGUUGGGAAUAUUGCACAAUGGGGGAAACCCUGAUGCAGCGACGCCGCGUGAGUGAAGAAGUAAUUCGUUAUGUAAAGCUCUAUCAGCAGGGAAGAAAAUGACGGUACCUGAGUAAGAAGCCCCGGCUAACUACGUGCCAGCAGCCGCGGUAAUACGUAGGGGGCAAGCGUUAUCCGGAUUUACUGGGUGGAAAGGGAGCGUAGACGGCAGUGCAAGUCUGGAGUGAAAGGCGGGGGCUCAACCCCCGGACUGCUCUGGAAACUGUACGGCUGGAGUGCAGGAGAGGUAAGUGGAAUUCCUAGUGUAGCGGUGAAAUGCGUAGAUAUUAGGAGGAACACCAGUGGCGAAGGCGGCUUACUGGACUGUAACUGACGUUGAGGCUCGAAAGCGUGGGGAGCAAACAGGAUUAGAUACCCUUGUAGUC
rnacentral:rRNA from 1 species